rnacentral:rRNA from 1 species
CCUACGUGAGGCAGCAGUGAGGAAUAUUGGUCAAUGGCCGUAAGGCUGAACCAGCCAAGUCGCGUGAAGGAAGAAGGAUCUAUGGUUUGUAAACUUCUUUUAUAGGGGAAUAAAGGUUUCCACGUGUGGAUAUUUGCAUGUACCCUAUGCAUAAGCAUCGGCUAACUCCGUGCCAGCAGCCGCGGUAAUACGGAGGAUGCGAGCGUUAUCCGGAUUUAUUGGGUUUAAAGGGUGCGUAGGGUGUUUUUUAAGUCAGCGGUGAAAGUUUGUGGCUCAACCAUAAAAUUGCCGUUGAAACUGGAAGACCUGAGUGUGUUUGAGGGAGGCGGAAAUGGGGGUGG